AUUGAACGCUGGCGGCAGGCUUAACACAUGCAAGUCGAGCGAGCGGCGGACGGGUGAGUAAUGUCUGGGAACCUGCCUGAUGGAGGGGGAUAAAUACUGGAAACGGUCGCUAAUCCCGCAUACCAUCAGGUACGCCCAUAUGGUUUUCGCUAGUAGGUGGGGUAAUGGCUCACCUAGGCGAAGCUCCCUAGCUGGUCUGAGAGGAUGACCAGCCACACUGGAACUGAGACACGGUCCAGACUCCUACGGGAGGCAGCAGUGGGGAAUAUUGCACAAUGGGCGCAAGCCUGAUGCAGCCAUGCCGCGUGUGUGAAGAAGGCCUUCGGGUUGUAAAGCACUUUCAGCGAGGAGGCGUUACUCGCAGAAGAAGCACCGGCUAACUCCGUGCCAGCAGCCGCGGUAAUUC
rnacentral:rRNA from 1 species